CAGAGGGUGCAAACGUUGUUCGGAAUUACUGGGCGUAAAGCGAGUGUAGGCGGUCUCAUAAGUCGGGUGUGAAAGCCCUGGGCUCAACCCAGGAAGUGCACUCGAUACUGCGAGGCUAGAGUAUCGGAGAGGUUGGUGGAAUUCUCGGUGUAGAGGUGAAAUUCGUAGAUAUUCGCAAGAACACCAGUGGCGAAGGCGGCUUACUGGUCCGGUACUGACGCUGAGGUGCGAAAGCGUGGGGAGCAAACAGGA
rnacentral:rRNA from 1 species